CUGAGUUUAUAAAGGAGCAGAAUAUGUCAUUUUAGUUCUAAGGCUUUGAUUUUGAAGAAAUAGGUUUGGAAUUUAUUAAUUUAUGUUAGUUGAUGACAUCUGCUGGCUGAGGCAUAAUGUAGCUCAGCUUUAUUAGAAACUGUGAAAACCACGCCUUGAAAAGAAAGUAAAUGAGAGCCUGAUGCUGUGACCUGUGUGUGAAAUCUGAGAAUUCUUCAAACUAGCCAAUUCUUAAGGACCAGAGGAAAUCCAAGAGCAGAAGGAAAGACCCAGGAAUCAAGAGGAAAGGACUUGUGGUAUGCUAGAUGGCCAUGGGCUAUGAUCUCACCCUCUAUCAUUUUAGAUUUCAAAGUUAAAAUAUUUUAGAGGGCACUUUUCCAUUUGAUUUAUUAUAAAAUUGUAUUUCUGGUAAGAAAUAGUAUUUGCUUUACAAAAGUUUAUUAACCAGUUUUGUUUGAGCUGAUCAGAUAGUGAAGGUAACUCUUAUUACUUUUGAUUUUAAUCAUCUCAGAGGGGACAUGUUCAGAGGUUUAUUACUGACAUCAGAUAGUAUGAUUUAUGAAUAUGAUAUAUUUACUUGUCUAUUGUAAGAGUGCAGCUAUUUGGUGAUAUUUAACAUUGAGUUUUUACUGUGUGGUAGACAUUGCUUUAAGAAAUUUACAAGUGUUACGUCAUUUACAUCUCUCAAUAAUCUUAUAAAAU
rnacentral:lncRNA from 10 species